rnacentral:rRNA from 1 species
AAUCCAUAGGUUAAUGAGGCGAACCGGGGGAACUGAAACAUCUAAGUACCCCGAGGAAAAGAAAUCAACCGAGAUUCCCCCAGUAGCGGCGAGCGAACGGGGAGGAGCCCAGAGCCUGAAUCAGUGUGUGUGUUAGUGGAAGCGUCUGGAAAGGCGCGCGAUACAGGGUGACAGCCCCGUACACAAAAAUGCACAUGCUGUGAGCUCGAUGAGUAGGGCGGGACACGUGGUAUCCUGUCUGAAUAUGGGGGGACCAUCCUCCAAGGCUAAAUACUCCUGACUGACCGAUAGUGAACCAGUACCGUGAGGGAAAGGCGAAAAGAACCCCGGCGAGGGGAGUGAAAAAGAACCUGAAACCGUGUACGUACAAGCAGUGGGAGCACGCUUCGGCGUGUGACUGCGUACCUUUUGUAUAAUGGGUCAGCGACUUAUAUUCUGUAGCAAGGUUAACCGAAUAGGGGAGCCGAAGGGAAACCGAGUCUUAACUGGGCGUUAAGUUGCAGGGUAUAGACCCGAAACCCGGUGAUCUAGCCAUGGGCAGGUUGAAGGUUGGGUAACACUAACUGGAGGACCGAACCGACUAAUGUUGAAAAAUUAGCGGAUGACUUGUGGCUGGGGGUGAAAGGCCAAUCAAACCGGGAGAUAGCUGGUUCUCCCCGAAAGCUAUUUAGGUAGCGCCUCGUGAAUUCAUCUCCGGGGGUAGAGCACUGUUUCGGCAAGGGGGUCAUCCCGACUUACCAACCCGAUGCAAACUGCGAAUACCGGAGAAUGUUAUCACGGGAGACACACGGCGGGUGCUAACGUCCGUCGUGAAGAGGGAAACAACCCAGACCGCCAGCUAAGGUCCCAAAGUCAUGGUUAAGUGGGAAACGAUGUGGGAAGGCCCAGACAGCCAGGAUGUUGGCUUAGAAGCAGCCAUCAUUUAAAGAAAGCGUAAUAGCUCACUGGUCGAGUCGGCCUGCGCGGAAGAUGUAACGGGGCUAAACCAUG